AAUUAAUUAGGAAUUUUGCUACUUAGUUAGGAAAUGACUUUGCAUCUGAAUGUUGCUGUGGCUGCUCCGAUUUGCAUUGCCAGCUGAAACACAAAUACCAGAGAGGAUGUGUUACAGAGAUAUAUCAGCUUAUUGCUUUUAGUCGAGUCUAAAUGCCUGCUGCAAGGCAGCAGAAAAGAGAAAGGACAUCUGCAUUAGAAGUGGAUUCUCCAACAGGAGAGACCCUUCUUAGCUGAUGAUAUUAAUGAUGAAAGCUUUUAAUUGAAUAGUUCUGACUAGACCUAGUGAGUGGCUGCACCUACAAAUGAGUUCUCCCAACCAGAGAACUGGGCAAGUAUAUACUUGUAUUCACAUGUAUUUAUUUUUAUUUCAUGUUCGUUACGUAAUUAUUCUUAAUUUAUAAGAAACACGAAUUUUCAAAAGAAAUGAGAAUCCUUACGAUAACCCAAAACUUCUGGGGGUUCCACACCCUGCACCACAAUCAGAUCCAAGCUGAGAACAGGCAGGAAAGAUAAUCUUGAAUGGAGAUAUAAAGAUAAGUCGGUGCCUAUCAGAAGAACGUACAUUAAGCUGCUCUGAGGACAUAUGUACCCGUGGGGGUGUUGGGGAGGGCCCAAAAUUGUGAAUUCCAUUUCACAGAGGCAUUUUCAUAUGUAUGUGGGGAAGCUUUCAGCAGUGUCAGGGAGUGAUCUAUGCCUACUGCCGACAGCAGCAUCGGCACAGCCCAGGCACAGGCACCGCACUGAACUUCCACACUCCUGCACGUGGAACUAUUUUUCAUGGAACUGAUGAAUUCUGCAGCGGCGUUCAGAGCAGUAGGACACAUUAUUGCCGCAAUAUAUGACUAUCAGUAACACCUACAAGCCUUUAAUAUUCUGCAGCUGAACUGGGGAAACAGAAGAAAGUCGCCUGUAAAUGCCUAAUUCACAGGCUCUUGGCUUGUGCUUAUGAUUUCAAGCUUUGCAUUCAGUAAGACCCUAAAGAAAGCUCAAGAAAUGAGCUCCCCAAGAGUCACUUCUCUUGGUGAACUCUCCCAGAACUGGCUCUGCCCAUGCUGACCUUUGGCAAACCUCCAGGGAAGGCAUUCUGGCACCCUUUCCAGCAAUUCUGGGAUCUCCAUGAAUCAGGGGGUUGUAUAAAACCUGAUACUGCUAGAAUGAAAUAACAUCUUCUGACAGUUCCAGCAUGGUAAGUUGAAAACAAACAAGGAGGAACGGAAAUGAGCUACUUUGUAAUCAGCCAAGUCAGAGCAGCAGACGAGCCUGGCUGGCUUGGGUUUCUCUCUGGGAUGCCAUUCAAUGCCACUUCUAUUUCUGAGCACGAUGGGGCAGCCAAGGCUGGAAAUGGAGGGAUUUGAAAAACAACAGGAAGAAAUUCCAUAUCCCCUCCCUGUCCUGUGAAAUGUUACAGGAGCCCCAUGGAUAACUGCUACAGGGCUGCACUGAUCACAGCCUGGGUCUGAACCAGGGGGCAGAGGGUUAAGCCCGAGUUAUUUUGAACAAUACAUUUCACUUUAUUUUCCUGUUUUCCUACUCUGCAGACUUACAUUCUGAGGCUUUACUACUUAAUCCCCACUGUAGUAAUAAAAAUUUUUAAUCCUGUGUUUAAAA